rnacentral:rRNA from 1 species
GAUGAACGCUGGCGGCGUGCCUAACACAUGCAAGUCGAGCGAUUUACUUCGGUAAAGAGCGGCGGACGGGUGAGUAACGCGUGGGUAACCUGCCCUGUACACACGGAUAACAUACCGAAAGGUAUGCUAAUACGGGAUAACAUAUUUUUAUCGCAUGGUAAAAAUAUCAAAGCUUUUGCGGUACAGGAUGGACCCGCGUMUGAUUAGCUAGUUGGUAAGGUAMCGGCUUACCAAGGCGACGAUCAGUAGCCGACCUGAGAGGGUGAUCGGCCACAUUGGAACUGAGACACGGUCCAAACUCSUACGGGAGGCAGCAGUGGGGAAUAUUGCACAAUGGGCGAAAGCCUGAUGCAGCAACGCCGCGUGAGCGAUGAAGGCCUUCGGGUMGUAAAGCUYUGUCCUCAAGGAAGAUAAUGACGGUACUGAGWUAGCCCCCA